rnacentral:sRNA from 1 species
GCUGGGUGCAGUGGUGCACACCUGUAAUCCCAGCUACUCAGAAGGCUGAGGCAAAAGGAUCACAGUUCAAGGCAAGCCCUGACAACUUAGUGAGAUCCUGUCUCAA